GUGCUUGCUUCGCCAGCACAUAUACCAAAAUUGGAAUGAUUCAGAGAAGAUUAGCAUGGCCCCUGCACAAGAAUGGCACAUGUAAGAAGAACUUUGGAGACUAUUGU